rnacentral:rRNA from 1 species
UAGCUGGCAGCUAGCUCUCUGCAACUCACAUGGUCGCCCACUGAAGCUAAGCAGGGCUGCGACCGGUCAGUACCUGGAUGGAAGACCACAUGGGAAAGCUAGGUUGCUAGUGAG